rnacentral:lncRNA from 1 species
CUUGGUGGUGCAGUAUCAGGUGAUCAGUAUUACUUCAAAUUUGAGUAUGAAGAGGGAGAUGAAGAAGAAGGCGGCUGCCUAACACAUGUUAAAAAAGGGUUUCAUCAGCCACUUCUAAACUUUGAUGAGUGGGUCAUUAUGACAACCAUAGGAAGAAGUUAAAUAUGCUAAUGUUGGAGUGUGGUUUUGCUUAAUGUGGGUACCUUUUUAAUAUUUUAACAGUUUUGUCAUCUUUCCUGUAGGAAGCUGAAUAGAGAUAAAGACAUUUUUAGUAUAAAAGACUCUGGGAUUCGGGUGGUUCUACUCAUAACUCUUUGCCCUAUGUCUCUUACUCUCUGCAGAUCUUUCACUCCUUCAGUUUGUAAAUGCAUUAUGUUUACUUUAAUGGGCAAGAAAUGUGAUACACAUAAAACUCUCUACGUCUAGCUUGGAGGUGCGGUGUAAAGUGAUCAGACCUGUUCUGGCCACUGGACAAGGAGAACAUGAUGAAACAUGUUAGAAAGAGAAAGCAGCUAAGACUAGGAGGUUUUAAAAAGACUCAAAUGUACUGCUCUUCUGAAACGGUUAUUUUAUACUGAUCAUCCCCCAUAAUGAUGUGCAGGAGGUACAUGCACCUUAUUUUUUACUUGAUUUUUCUUGGUGCUGCACUGAUCAUCUACUUCAUACAAAGUGGCAUGUUGAAAGUCAAGAAAAGCACACUUGCACACCGCUUAAGUCCUGAACAAUCUAAAAAUCUCAAGUUUGACAGAACUCCCCAGGCCAAAUGUUUCUUGUCAAGGCGCUGAACUCAGGAAAUUUGUGCCAUAUGAAAUGGAUAACAUACUAGAACGCAGAGCAAAAAGAAUACAAGCAACAUCAACUCAG